rnacentral:rRNA from 1 species
UACAGAGACUGCAAGCGUUAUCCGGAUUCACUGGGCGUAAAGGGCGCGCAGGCGGCCAUGUGUGUCAGGCGUGAAAGCCCGAGGCUUAACAUCGGAAUUGCACUUCAAACUACAUGGCUAGAGCAUUGGAGAGGGUAGCGGAAUUCACGGUGUAGCAGUGAAAUGCGUAGAUAUCGUGAGGAACACCAGAGGCGAAGGCGGCUACCUGGACAAUUGCUGACGCUCAGGCACGAAAGCGUGGGGAGCAAAAGGG